UACGUAGGGUGCGAGCGUUGUCCGGAAUUACUGGGCGUAAAGGGCGCGUAGGCGGUCCGAUAAGUCCCGUGUGAAAUCCCUCGGCUCAACUGAGGAAUGGCACGGGAAACUGCCGGGCUUGAGUUCGGGAGAGGGAAGCGGAAUUCCGGGUGUAGCGGUGAAAUGCGUAGAUAUCCGGAGGAACACCGGUGGCGAAGGCGGCUUCCUGGACCGACACUGACGCUGAGGCGCGAAAGCUAGGGGAGCAAACGGG
rnacentral:rRNA from 1 species